rnacentral:rRNA from 1 species
AGAGUUUGAUCAUGGCUCAGGACGAACGCUGGCGGCGUGCCUAACGCAUGCAAGUCGAGCGAAGUACUUAUCAAUAAGCCUUCGGGCAGAUUGAUAAGUUACUUAGCGGCGGAUGGGUGAGUAACGCGUGAGGAACCUGCCUUCCACAAGGGGAUAGCCUCGGGAAACCGGGAUUAAUACCCUAUGACACUUAAAGGUCCCAUGACUUUUAAGUUAAAGCGUUAGCGGUGGAAGAUGGCCUCGCGUCCCAUUAGCUAGUUGGUGAGGUAAGGGCUCACCAAGGCCACGAUGGGUAGCCGGCUUGAGAGAGUGACCGGCCACACUGGAACUGAGACACGGUCCAGACUCCUACGGGAGGCAGCAGUGGGGAAUAUUGCACAAUGGAGGGAACUCUGAUGCAGCGACGCCGCGUGAGCGAUGAAGGCCUUCGGGUCGUAAAGCUCUGUCCUAUGGGACGAUAAUGACGGUACCAUAGGAGGAAGCCCCGGCUAACUACGUGCCAGCAGCCGCGGUAAUACGUAGGGGGCGAGCGUUGUCCGGAAUUACUGGGCGUAAAGGGUACGCAGGCGGUCAUGUAAGUCAGAUGUGAAAUCCUAAGGCUUAACCUUAGUAAGCAUUUGAAACUGCGUGGCUUGAGUUAAGGAGAGGAAAGUGGAAUUCCUGGUGUAGCGGUGAAAUGCGUAGAUAUCAGGAGGAAUACCAGUGGCGAAGGCGACUUUCUGGCCUUAAACUGACGCUGAGGUACGAAAGCGUGGGGAGCAAACAGGAUUAGAUACCCUGGUAGUCCACGCUGUAAACGAUGAGUGCUAGGUGUCGGGUGUCAAAGCUCGGUGCCGCAGUAAACACAUUAAGCACUCCGCCUGGGGAGUACGUUCGCAAGAAUGAAACUCAAAGGAAUUGACGG